UAUACAUUUUUUGUAACCUUGAAUUUCAUCAUAUUUACACACGCACACAUAUACAAUAUCACGAAAAACGAGUUCAACUAUAGGACAUUGACGAACGGGACGCGCGUAAUGGUAACUUUAAGACAAACGGUCACCACGAAAUUCGCGUUGGAAACCUUUCCGAUAAACAAGUGACGGCGAGCCGACCAUCAAUCGAAAUGAAAGAUAAAUACAAGACGGUUAAUUUCUCCAUGCUUACGCGUCAAUCGCAUGCGAAGACGAGUGGUUGGCCGACGAAAGUAACAGAAAAGAUUGGCUCGAGUGCAUCGAGUCUGAGGAAGGAAUUGGUACAAUGGACGCGAUGAUUUGUUACAGCUGCUUUCGAGCCGACAUGUAAAUACAAUAUAGACAUAUACUGUGUCGGACGUGGUGACGAGGGUGGUUGGAUGGUAGAGUGGGUGGAUGUAUAAUGCGAUUUAGGGUUAAUUGCCACGAAAGGCUAAGCCGCCCCUACCGCCAAAUUAUUACACCGAUGUCGCGUGACGGCGGCGUGCCCUCUCUUCCCCGGCAACGACCGCUGACUACACCGCUCACGCACCACCGCCGUUUGACGUUUUGUUGUUUACCCGAAAUCCGUGGAACUCGCGUCUCGCAUAUAUUAUAAUCAUCUAACAUUAUAUAUUUAUACCACUCCCUGUAAUGCCAGUCGAUAUUAUUACACUAUUGCAUUUACCUCCGAUUGAAAGUGAGAGAUUUCCGUACUUUUUUUUAGACAUUAUAGGUACUAUAGGUAUAGGAACAGUGAAUUUUUAUAUUAGUUUAAAAUGCACAUUAUUAUACUAGUUAAUUUUAAUCUAUUACGUGGUUAAAACCAGAGUUAAUAUACAUAACCUAACAGUAGUACUUAUAGGGAGGGAGUGUUUAGGAGUUCACUGUGCAACCUAAUAUAAAUCUAUCAUAUAUGAGAUAUACAAUAAUAAAAUAUACACACACGUGAAACACAUUAUUAAUAUCAAGUUAACAUUGUCCACCACAAUAUUAUUCAAAGUGUACGUGAAAAUAUACAAUAUAAUUUAACUUCUAAAUAGGUACCUACCUAUACGUGGUACUAAUAUUAUUAUAUUAAUAUAACGCGUUUAACUUUAAAUGUCUAUAGUAAAUAGUAAUAUAAUUACCUACUACAACUGAAUACAAAUAUGAUUAAACUUUGUUGAAAUAUUGUUUUUAAUUUUUAUAUUAACACAUAUUUGAUUAUAUAUGAUCAAUAUAAUGGUCAUACUACGAUGGUUAUAUCAUUCUAUAUGUCGGUAGUUAAGUUAGGAACUGUUUGAUUUGUUCGGUUCGAAUUCAAUUUUAUUUUAUUAUUUCUAUUAUUUCAUUAUAUAUAUAAUAUUAUUUAUUUAUAUCAUACAAUUCGUGUGAAAAAAAUGAAAACAGAAGAAAUAAUUUUAAUAAAAUUACAAAACUAUCAUUUAUUACAUUUCUUGAUUUGUGAAAGAAGUAUUUAAAAUAGACUCAUAUUUAUUUUGUAAGACAAUGUGUUUAA